rnacentral:tRNA from 1 species
GGGGAUGUAGCUCAGUGGUAGAGCACUUGUUUAACAUGCAAGUGCUCUGGGGUCACUCCCCAGCACUGCAA